rnacentral:rRNA from 1 species
UACAGAGGGGGCAAGCGUUAUUUGGAAUUAUUGGGCGUAAAGGGCGCGUAGGCGGCUUUGCAAGUGACGGGUGAAAUCCCUCGGCUUAACCGAGGAACUGCCUGUCAGACUGCAUGGCUUGAGACCAGGAGAGGUGAGUGGAAUUCCCAGUGUAGCGGUGAAAUGCGUAGAUAUCAGGAAGAACACCCGUGGCGAAAGCGGCUCUCUGGAACGGUACUGACGCUGAGACGCGAAAGCGUGGGGAGCGAACAGG